UACAGAGGUCCCAAGCGUUGUUCGGAUUCACUGGGCGUAAAGGGUGCGUAGGCGGUCGGGUAAGUCUGAUGUGAAAUCUCACAGCUUAACUAUGAAACUGCAUUGGAUACUAUUCGGCUUGAGAGUUGGAGGGGGGACUGGAAUUCUUGGUGUAGCAGUGAAAUGCGUAGAUAUCAAGAGGAACACCAGUGGCGAAGGCGAGUCCCUGGACAACUUCUGACGCUGAGGCACGAAAGCUAGGGGAGCAAACAGG
rnacentral:rRNA from 1 species